rnacentral:rRNA from 1 species
GAUGAACGCUAGCGGCAGGCCUAACACAUGCAAGUCGAGGGAGAAGCCUUUCGGGGCAGAAACCGGCGCACGGGUGCGUAACGCGUAUGCAACCUACCUUUCACAGGGGGAUAGCCCGAAGAAAUUUGGAUUAAUACCCCAUAAUAUUGUUGGAUGGCAUCAUCCGACAAUUAAAACUGCGGUGGUGAAAGAUGGGCAUGCGUCCUAUUAGCUAGUUGGAGUGGUAACGGCACCCCAAGGCUACGAUAGGUAGGGGUCCUGAGAGGGAGAUCCCCCACACUGGUACUGAGACAGGGACCAGACUCCUACGGGAGGCAGCAGUGAGGAAUAUUGGUCAAUGGUCGGAAGACUGAACCAGCCAUGCCGCGUGCAGGAAGAAUGCCUUAUGGGUUGUAAACUGCUUUUAUAUGGGAAGAAUAAGGUGUA